rnacentral:rRNA from 1 species
UACGAAGGGGGCUAGCGUUGCUCGGAAUCACUGGGCGUAAAGGGUGCGUAGGCGGGUCUUUAAGUCAGGGGUGAAAUCCCCGGGCUCAACCCGGGAACUGCGUCCGAUACUGGCAGGCUUGAAUCCGGGAGAGGGAUGCGGAAUUCCAGGUGUAGCGGUGAAAUGCGUAGAUAUCUGGAGGAACACCGGUGGCGAAGGCGGCAUCCUGGACCGGUAUUGACGCUGAUGCGCGAAAGCCAGGGGAGCAAACGGG